rnacentral:rRNA from 1 species
CCUACGGGAGGCUGCAGUGGGGAAUAUUGGGCAAUGGGCGAAAGCCUGACCCAGCAACGCCGCGUGAAGGAAGAAGGCUUUCGGGGUGUAAACUUCUUUUGACAGGGAAGAGCAGAAGACGGUACCUGUCGAAUAAGCCACGGCUAACUACGUGCCAGCAGCCGCGGUAAUACGUAGGUGGCAAGCGUUGUCCGGAUUUACUGGGUGUAAAGGGCGUGUAGCCGGGCUGACAAGUCAGAUGUGAAAUCCGGGGGCUCAACCCCCGAACUGCAUUUGAAACUGGUGGUCUUGAGUAUCGGAGAGGCAGGCGGAAUUCCUAGUGUAGCGGUGAAAUGCGUAGAUAUUAGGAGGAACACCAGUGGCGAAGGCGGCCUGCUGGACGACAACUGACGGUGAUGCGCGAAAGCGUGGGGAGCAAACAGGAUUAGAUACCCCAGUAGUC